rnacentral:rRNA from 1 species
GGGCGGCUGUCCUACGAUGCCUGUCGAACCAGUCCUUCUCUGAGAUUGACUCAGGGGACUCUCGCCCCUGGGAGAUUGAGGCUCUUGGGGCCCGCCCCUGUUAAGCGACUGCCACUACUUUAUUUGCAUUAUGGGACCCUGGUUUCUCUUCUUUGAUGAUUUCCGGGAUUAUUUAUUAGGAGAUUUUGGGUUGGCCAUGGAAAACCUUUGCUUGUGGGGAAGGGCUGACCUUAUGAGAUUCCUCUCUGGGAUGGUUACAACUAAGAGCCGGUUUUAGCUUUAUUACAUCCCCGAAUUGCCCCAUGUGGGAACCCUAUUCCAUAAUAUUUGACCUGGGAGCAGAGCCUCACCUUGCAUGCCGCUUUCAGGAUGACUGCCCUUGGGGUUGACUGCUGCUUAUACCCCGGAAGACUUCUGUGCCACGUGUGGACGGCUUACGGUGGGGGCUAGCGUUGGACCGGAAUCACUGGGUGCCAAGCGUACCUAUGCGGACUGAGGUCCGAGGGUUGAAAUCACGGGGCUCAUCCCCGGAACUGCCUUUGAUACUGUUAAGUCUUGGGAUGAAAGUCUGUGAGUGGACUGUCCGAGUGUAGAGUGAUACUGGUGGAGAUUGUCUCGAUGAGACGUUGGCCGAACGUGUGGUCAUUGCCUCGAUACGGACACUGAUGACCUAAAGCAUGGGGAGCAAACGGGAUUGAAUACCCUGGUACUGACCCUGAUGGACGAUGACUUCGGUUUGUCACGGAACUAGAUAUUUCGUGUACGUCAGCUACGCAAUCAAUCGUUACCUCCCUGGGGAGUACCGUCCGUCUCAUCGGACCUACCAAAGAAUUGUAAGGAUGCCCACCUCGAGGCAGGUACGAUCCAUGAGAUGAAUUCGAACGAACUGGAGAGCGCUCACGCGACACCUGAGGAUUGAUGCGACUAACUGGGAACGAUUCGUUACCAUCCUGACCUUC